GUAGGUGAACCUGCGGAAGGAUCAUUACUGAGUGAGGGCCCUCUGGGUCCAACCUCCCACCCGUGUUUAUUGUACCUUGUUGCUUCGGCGGGCCCGCCUUUAUGGCCGCCGGGGGGCUUACGCUCCCGGGCCCGCGCCCGCCGAAGACACCCUCGAACUCUGUCUGAAGAUUGUAGUCUGAGUGAAAAUAUAAAUUAUUUAAAACUUUCAACAACGUAUCUCUUGGUUCCGGCAUCGAUGAAGAACGCAG
rnacentral:misc_RNA from 1 species